rnacentral:rRNA from 1 species
GUAUAGCANGGGCGCAGCCUGAUGCAGCCAUGCCGCGUGUGUGAAGAAGGCCUUCGGGUUGUAAAGCACUUUCAGCGGGGAGGAAGGCGAUAAGGUUAAUAACCUUGUCGAUUGACGUUACCCGCAGAAGAAGCACCGGCUAACUCCGUGCCAGCAGCCGCGGUAAUACGGAGGGUGCAAGCGUUAAUCGGAAUUACUGGGCGUAAAGCGCAC